UGGGGAAUUUUGGACAAUGGGCGCAAGCCUGAUCCAGCAAUGCCGUGUGCAGGAUGAAGGCCUUCGGGUUGUAAACUGCUUUUGUACGGAACGAAACGGCUCUGGUUAAUACCUGGGGCUAAUGACGGUACCGUAAGAAUAAGCACCGGCUAACUACGUGCCAGCAGCCGCGGUAAUACGUAGGGUGCGGGCGUUAAUCGGAAUUACUGGGCGUAAAGCGUGCGCAGGCGGUGAUGUAAGACAGAUGUGAAAUCCCCGGGCUCAACCUGGGACCUGCAUUUGUGACUGCAUCGCUGGAGUGCGGCAGAGGGGGAUGGAAUUCCGCGUGUAGCAGUGAAAUGCGUAGAUAUGCGGAGGAACACCGAUGGCGAAGGCAAUCCCCUGGGCCUGCACUGACGCUCAUGCACGAAAGCGUGGGGAGCAAACA
rnacentral:rRNA from 1 species